UCAUAAUAUACUCAGGUGUAGCUCUGGGACACUGCAUCAUAAUAUACUCAGGUGUAGCUCUAGGACACUGCAUCAUAAUAUACUCAGGUGUAGCUCUGGGACUACAUGUAUGUAUGUACUCAGGUGUAGCUCUGGGACACUGCAUCAUAAUAUACUCAGGUGUAGCUCUAGGACACUGCAUCAUAAUAUACUCAGGUGUAGCUCUGGGACUACAUGUAUGUAUGUACUCAGGUGUAGCUCUGGGACACUCAGUGGGUAGUGGCUCUGAGGCAGACAGAUUUACACUUAGAAAUUAUAAAAUCAUUAAAAAGCUGUCGCAUAGAAUUCCCCCAAAUAAUAAAAACAUAAUAAA